UUUGUGACCUACCACUGUUGCCUCGGCGCGAGCUGCGCUGCCCGGGAGUUACCCUGGAGUUACCUACCCUGUAGAUGACUACCCUGGAGAGCUACCUGGUUGCGCGUUAUUGGCUCCGUCGGUGGACCCACCAAACUCUAUUUUAACUACUGUAUCUCUGAAUGCUUCAACUGAAAUAAGUUAAAACUUUCAACAACGGAUCUCUUGGUUCUGGCAUCGAUGAAGAACGCAGCGAAAUGCGAUAAGUAAUGUGAAUUGCAGAAUUCAGUGAAUCAUCGAAUCUUUGAACGCACAUUGCGCCCAUUAGUAUUCUAGUGGGCAUGCCUAUUCGAGCGUCAUUUCAACCCUUAAGCCUCUGUUGCUUAGCGUUGGGAGUCUACGUCUUAGGGCGUAGCUCCCUAAAGAUAGUGGCGGAGUCAGGGCGUACUCUAAGCGUAGUAAACUAUUUCUCGCUUCUGCAGUAGUCCUGGGUGCCUGCCGUAAAACCCCUUAUAUUUCUAAUGG
rnacentral:misc_RNA from 1 species